AGUGAUGGCCCUCUGGGUCCACCUCCCACCCGUGUUUAUUUUACCUUGUUGCUUCGGCGGGCCCGCCUUAACUGGCCGCCGGGGGGCUUACGCCCCCGGGCCCGCGCCCGCCGAAGACACCCUCGAACUCUGUCUGAAGAUUGUAGUCUGAGUGAAAAUAUAAAUUAUUUAAAACUUUCAACAACGGAUCUCUUGGUUCCGGCAUCGAUGAAAAACGCAGCGAAAUGCGAUACGUAAUGUGAAUUGCAAAUUCUGUGAAUCAUCGAGUCUUUGAACGCACAUUGCGCCCCCUGGUAUUCCGGGGGGCAUGCCUGUCCUAGCGUCAUUUCUGCCCUCAAGCACGGCUUGUGUGUUGGGCCCCGUCCUCCGAUCCCGGGGGACGGGCCCGAAAGGCAGCGGCGGCACCGCGUCCGGUCCUCGAGCGUAUGGGGCUUUGUCACCCGCUCUGUAAGCCCGGACGGCGCUUGCCGAUCAACCCAAAUUUUUAUCCAGGUUGACCUCGGAUCAGGUAGGGAUACCCGCUGAACUU
rnacentral:rRNA from 2 species